rnacentral:lncRNA from 1 species
CCUUGUAAUGACAAUUCUAACCUAAUAAAACGUAUAAUCUCAUUAGCUAGAAGGAGUGUAAAAUAAUUACAACUGAGUCAAUAGUAUCACGGUCCAUUACACCUUAUCCAUGGCAAUAAAGCUCAAACGUGCAGUAGUCAUACCAUUCUCUUAUAUUUAUAGUUUAAAGUAUUGUAGUUUAUUAAACUUUUCUUAUCCAUAGUUCAAAAAGAAAGUUGAUAACUCACCCUAACAUUUUAUCUGGCUUGACACCAUGAGCAAAAUCCAACUCAUUCUUGUACAAUGAAUGAGUCUAAAAUCUGUCAAAAGAAAAGGUCAAGACAAUUUAUAAUUGUCACCAAAACGCACAGACAAAAAUAUAAAAUUUGCUUAAUCUAUAGCAUAUUCAUGUGAAUUUUAUGUUAGAUCUUCACACAUGGUUAUAUUAGCAUCUUGUGUAUAGAAACUACUAAUUCAUUUUUCAAUAACAAUAUUGUGGGAUGGUUAAAAUAUAUAAAAUCAUAAAAGUGUAAACCUUUGAUCUCUCGGUUAUCAUGUUUUCAAGAGCUUAGCCCGCUCUUCACUCCUAACUGAUAUACCAUAGCUCCUUUCAAAAAUUGCUCCAGCAAAGAAAAUUACAACUGCAGUUUUUUAAGUCUAGACUUAAAACUAAUUAUCUAGCACCGUGCGUAAAUAUUCAUUGAUGCAUGAUUAAUUUAUCAACAAAUUCCCAAAUAAUGUUAGGCAUUAAAAUACAUGCAAUCAUAUUCUUGGAGCUUUAAUAGAAUAAAAUUAUUGUUAUUCCAUAUUUUGGGGAAAAGGCAAACCAGAAAUAUAUGAAAACCAACGAAAGAAACUUGCCUCACUUAUGUUUACGUAAAUGAAGUGAAAAGCGAUUUAUGGGUAUUAGCAGGUGUGAUUUUUGCUUAGCUAAUAUGGAUUGAACAAAUAAUUGUGAAAGAAAUGACAGAGGAUGGUGCAGAAGAAGUCCAUAACAAGUCUUGUUUCUAUUUGUCUGAAUGGUUUGAGGACCAAGGCUUGAUCCAUAAGUAUAUGAAGCACCAUCAAAGAGGGAACCAAUGCUGAUCCCAAAGUACAUAUUUGUAGUCUUUUUUCUGUUUAAUUAGCUGCUAGCCAACAGAUUUAGUGGACAAUAAUGCUCUUACUUUUCUAGGCCAAUAAUUUUAACUGCUUUACUAUAAACUUCGCAACUUCAUGUUUAAUAUAAUUCCAUUGUGUUUGUGAUAAGUACCUUGUAGCAGUGAAAACGUCAGAGACAUGACUACAUACAUGACUUGUAGCAGCAGUAUAAAUCUCUUUCUCGAACCUCACAACAAUUUUUUUAAGCUCCUCUUCUCUAUCUUGCCUAGAGGCAGGAAGAUGCUUCUUUAUGUCUCCAUUCUCUAAAAAUACAUCAACAAAAAUCUCAAUAAGAGCUAGGGGCGGCAAUGGUGCGUUGUGGGUUUUUUUAAACCCGUAAAUUUUAAAAUCACCCCACACCGCACGGCAUUACCUUUAAACCCGCAUAAACCCGCCCCACACUCAUACCUGCACCGCAUCGCCCCACAGUUUUGCUUUUUUCUUUUUUGAAAAAUUUAUAACUCCAUUGAAAACCAUAAUAAUUUCAAUACUAGGAAAUAAUAACAACCAAUUUUUAUUAUGUCACUUUUCAUUAAGAAAUUAUCAAAAAAGUAUCACGCGUACGAGUAAUGAUCAAAUAUCAAAUUUUCAUUAAGAGGAAUAAAGAAAUAAAAAAACUUAUAAAACCUGUUGAUUUAAGUAUCAUAAAAUUUUAAGUGAACAAUAGAUAUAAUUUUAGGUAGAUUUAUGAGAAUAAUACUAAUUUUUAUUUUUAUUUUUGUUUAAACCCACAUAUACUCGCAACCCGCCCCACCCCGUACUAUUUAAAAAAGAAACUUACUUAAACCCGCACCGCACCCACUUGGUCUAAAACCUGCACCACCCCACAUAGCCUAACACCCGCACCGGCCCGCACCCGCACCGCCCCAUUUUCAUCCCUAAUAAGAGCAUAAUCAAAAUAAAUGCUUCUUAAGUAUAUUAAAAAUAAUUCGUCAUUAUGCUAUGUUAUGAACGAAUAAAAGUUAUUUCCUCUAAACAAACAACAACUUACCCAGUGUAGGGGUCUUGGGUGGAUAGACUAUACACGGACUUACCCCUACCUCGUCGAGAUAGAGUGGUUGUUCCCGAUAGACCCUAUAAAUAAAUAUCAGUAGUUAUAACCUGUCAUUUCGACUUGACCUAUAUAAAAGCACAUUAAAUUGACCCAUUUCCAAAAUUGAAAAAUAAGAAAGAUUACAUCUUGUUGACAAUUCUUUGAUAAGUAAUCACCUCGUCAAACAGAUUUAUAGCCUCAUCUAAACAUCCAAAUAAAACAAUCACAAUCCGGAAACUAAACUACUCAUGUUACACUAUCAUUACAUUUUUAGUAACAAAUGACAAAAUAAAUAGUAACGUAGGGAGAUAAUGUAUUUAUUCGUCCAAGGAUCUCACCCUGGUAUGAUGUGGGAUCAUUCUAUUCAUCACCCUCUCACGCCUAGAUCAGGACAUGCUUUAUCCAUGGUUCUAAGGAUCCACUAUCCAAUUUGCAGAGCAUGCACAAUUAGAUCGGGAGUAUUUUACAUAUCCGCAUGGAAGUCUGACACUGAUACCAAGUUAAAUUAUGCUUAGGCCUAACUCACACCCCAAAAGCUAGUUCAAACGAAGAAGGAUUGCGACUAGAAAGCAAAAUGAAAAUUAAAAUAAUGAAGAUCUUGCAUUAAUCUCAAAAGAGGAGCAGUACCUCGUGGAGGUAGAGAGACUGUUUUUGAAGGACCCUCGAUUCAAAUGUUGCAACAGAUGAGUGACUGACAUGAUCCAUGACAAAAGUAAACCUCCAUGACAAUUAGAAGAACUCAUCAGAGAGAUUAAAGAUUUAAGUCAUUGUCUAUAAUUCACUUUUCAACACUAUUACUGUAAGACCCCGCGAAAUCCUUAGCUUAACUCAUCCCUUUUUAAAGUUCGAUAAGGGGAUCCCAGACUUAGAAAAUUUUGCUAAGUAUUCACACUUUCUUUAGCCUUAUAAGUUGAAAACUCUAUUUCGCGGCCUCUAUGGCCUUAAAAUGUCAAUCUUUAGGUUAAUUCAUGAUCAGGAAUGUCAGUAGGUAUUUUCGGACAAGUUUCGUAUUUUUGGACCUCGUUUGAACCACGUUUAAGAAUACAAAUAGUGUAUCGACGCAAUCUCGGUGCGGCGCGGCAGCAAUUACGUAGAUCAAUAUUUUUCCUUGGAUCUCAGUGGCAAUUUCUAGUGAACCGACGCGAUGCGUUGGCUAUCGCAUAGAUGCCAACGAUGCAGUGCGUCAUCCUAUGCGUCGACAGUUCGAUUUUGAGUCAUUAAAAGCCGUGUUCUUGGGGGUAUUUGGGUAUUUUUCCCACUCCUAUUCAGCCCUAAAACACGAGAUUCAUCUCUCAUUGAGCAAGAUAUACUUACUUUAUCUCAAAUUGCUCAAGAACAAGAACCCUAGGUGAUUUAAUUUCAAGGCCAAGGCUCAAGAUUUCCACCAUUAUUCUUCAGGAAUUUAGCAACCAAGGUAUGUGAAGUGUUCAUCCAAGGUUCCUUCCACCCUUGGAGUCCAAGAAACUCUUUUAAACCUCAAGUAGUUUGGAAUCAGGAUUUCCAUGAUUGGAAUUUAUGUGUAUUCAUGAUUAUUAUUUGAAUUAGGUUCCUAUUUCAUGAUUUAUUACACGUUUCAUGGGGAGUUGAUUAUUAUGUGUGUAGAUUCGUGUGAAUCCAUGAUUAAACCCUUGAAAUUAUGAAAUUGGAAUGGAAUCAUGAUGCUCACAUGUUGUUUAGCAUUAUGUGCAUAUACUAUGCCAUGCAAGUGUGUGAUAAAAUGCCACUAUAGAUACAUUAUGAACAAGUGUGCAUUUUUAUGCUCUGCAAGAUCAUGUGAUGCUUUACUUUUUAUGUUAUAGAGUCCUGGGGGUAUUUAAUACCUGACAAUUUAGCUGUUUACUUAGAGCCAGUGUCAGUUACAAAAAGAAUCUCAGUCAUGUCAUGAUUAGUAGUACUCUCAGUUAGUUACAGGACUCAGGAAUACUCAAUAGACUCAGUAUCAGUCCAGUCCAGUUCAGUAUUCAGUUCAGACAUCAGUAAACUCAAUUAGUUAAUAGAACUUAGUAGUACUCCAUCAGUUAACGGAACCCAGUAAACUCAGUUCAGUUCAGUUAAACUGUAUAAUCAGUAAUAGUUCAAUCCAGCUUAGUACAGUUUAGAAAUCAGUUUAGUGUCUAUUCAGUUAGGAGUAGGAUUCAGCACCGAGCAAACCCAGGGAUAUGGGCAUUUUUUUUCAGUAGAGAGGGUUUGACCCUUAGUAGCAAUCCCUGUAUUACAAAACUACAUAACCAGCGUAGGUUGAGAUAUCUUCCUACUAGAUAUUAUGAGGGUUGAUGCAUCUCAUUUAAGUUUUCCUGCCAGCGACGAUUGAUGAAAGAACUUUCUGUCAAAGAGGGUUAACUCACAGCUUGUGUUUACAUGUGGCACGGUAUUGCCACCCUUUCAAUUGGGGUUACAGGUGGGACCCCAAUCUAUUCAAAAAGGGGCAUGUUGGUUAGAUGGUUAUCUCCCACAAUCUCAAUUUUAGUCUUCAAAAUAGAACUCAGUUUAGUUCUACAGAAAUCAGGACGGUCAAAUACAGUCACUCAAUUCAGUAUGAAACUCAGUACAGUUCCAUAAAAUUAGUAUUGUCAGGUACAGUCAUUUACCUAUCAGUUAUACAGUAUCAGUAGACUUAGGUAUCAGUAAAUCAGUAAUUUAGAACUCAAUAUUCAGUGUUAUCUUGACCUCAGUUACAGCUUACGUAGUUAUGCAUGUACUCUCAUUUAGUUAUACUCAUGUUAUUCAAUCAGUACUGUUCAUUCAUAUAAACCCAUGCAUCUCAUCCUACCUCACUUAGCAUACCAGUAUAUUCAAAGUACUAACGCAUACCUUUCUUUGGUGAUAUGAUGUCUUAUAUUAUAGGUUCAGACGCAUGGGCUCCCGAUCAUACUUAGCAGCCCGAUUCAUCAGCAGCAGACUUAGUGAUGAGACCUCAUAGUUUGAGGACAAAUUUAAUAUUUCAGUAUUUCAAUACUCAGUUUAUUUCAGUAGUCAAAGUUAGUUGAGGACUUGUCCCAUCAACUUCUUGCUCAUUCAGUAGAGGCUUUCCAGACUAGAGUAUUUUCAGACAGCUAUUUUCAGUUUUGGUAUUGUUAUACUGUAUUCAGUUUUAUUUUAGUAUUGAACCUUAUGGCAAGUUUCUACCUAAUUUCCACAUAAUUACAGUAUUGUUAUUCAGUUAUUGUAGUAGGUACCAGUCUUAGGUUAGCUUGUGGUCCCUCGGGAUUAUGUGAACUAUGUAGCAUCCGAAGUACAGACUCGAGGCAUUACAAAUUUGGUAUCAGAGCCUAAGGUUCAACAGAUUCCUAGGAAGUCUGAAAUCCAUUUCUAGUAGAGUUUUGUGCAUGGGUAUAUAGCGUGCCACACUUAUGGACAAGAGGCUAUGAGAUGUUUUAGGAAAAGUUUCCCUUCUUUCAAUAUUCAUGUCGUGCGAGUGAGCAUGAGCUCAAGUUAAACUCUCAGUCUAAUUCAUCUCUUCAUUAUGCUUCCAGAACAUGUCUUCCAGAAAAGCUAACAAAAAAAGUAACGAAAACCAGUCAGCCCCUCCGUACGCUCAGGCAGAUCCCCUGAAUGAGUAUGUUUCUCACACUGAAUUCAAAGUUGCUUUUACUACUUUGGCUUAUUUAGUAGUUUCUUAGAAUAAUUUGCUAAUUGUUUUCCUAUUUAGGUUAUUGACUUGCCUUGAGCAGGGUGAGAGAGAGGAGAGGAGAAAGAAUAACAAGGCUAGAACAAAUAAUUCUAAGCCAAGAUCUGGGAGUAGUAACUGCCCCCAAUUCUAUCAGAGAUUCUCAACCCCAGGUUCGCCUUCAGUCAGGGUGACAGUGCUUAAGUUUAAGAAUGACAGUUGAAAUGGGGCAUUUAACUCUAAGUCGCAAGGUAGGAGAAAGGGUAUGCAUACUAAUCCGCUUUGCAGAGAAUGUGGUAAGAACUACAAGGGAGUGUGUAGAGCUAGCAGUAGAGUAUGUUUUGGAUACGGUAAGACAGGCCAUAUGAUACAGGAGUGUAGAGUAAUGGCUCAGAGGGGAAAGAAUUUACGCCAACAGGGUCAGUCCGACUGUCCUUCAGCUCAGUCUGGUUGCCCGAAUCAGCAGGGUGCCACUUCCAGUAACACCAGUGGGCAGCACCUAAAUAGGCUUCAUGCACUUCAGUCUAGACAAGAUCAGGAAAGUUCUCCUGAUAUGGUCACUGGUACGUUACCGAUCUUCUAUUUACAUGUAUAUGCAUUGUUAGAUCCGGGAGCUUCUCUGUCUCUUGUAACUCCUUACAUAGCAGUCAACUUUCAAGUCAGAUUAGAAAUCUUACUAGAACUUUUCUUAGUGCCUCCCCCAGUAGGUAGAUCUAUUCUAGCCAGACGAGUAUACAGAAAUGGCUCGAUUACAGUAUUUUAGAAAAAUCCCUUCAGUUGAUUUCAGUAAUAGAAUCGUCCCAUUUGAGUUUCCUAAGGGACCAAUCUUUGGAUGAAGGGGUAGUACCUCAGUUUCAGUUGAUUUAAGUUUGAAUCUUUAGAUUAAAAUAGUAGAAAGAAGAGUAGAGAAUUCUAAGUUAGUCAGUGUUGAGGUUGCUACAUGAUGAUUGUUGGGGCAAUAGAGAGCAAAUCGAAAGAAAGUACUAGCAGUGGACCUUAGAUUAUCAGGUAUAGUCCUUCAGGAUGAGUUGAGUGUUUAUGAGUAUUGUUAUAUCUCAAACACUAGAGUAACAUGGUUUUAGUUUGGUUUAGAGUUUAUUAAGUUAUUCACAGACUUAGAAUAUCGGCUUUAAGCUAAGGGAUACAUGGUAGAGUAAGUAACCAAGUUAGGCUUUCAGAUUUUAAUAGUAAUGUCUAUAUGUGUAGAAAAGCAGUGGUAAGGCAUGAUGCCUAACCCGUCCUUACCUCAGUGCAAUGUUUCGUAUUUCAACUAUCACUAUAUCUACUUAUGCUUUACAUUUCAUCUUUAUGAUUAUAGAUCAUAUUUGUGCACGUUAGCAAAAAUCAGGUAUGCUUAUAGUUCCUAGUAUAGGAGUUUCAGUUCACUCAGUAUUACAAAUCAUGUUUCUUAAAUAUAAAAACUCCCGACUCAGGUCCUGUAGCUCAUAACUUAUGUACUUAUGUCAUGCUUUACAGUAUGCCCAGUUCCCAAGACUCAUGCUACACUUCUAACGGUCGGAUAAGUUCAGAUUAUGUCAUGUAUAUCCUUAGUUUAGGUCGCUUGAUAAAUCCAUAGAGUUUCUAUUCUGUUUCUCAGGCCUCAGUUAAGUGUCGAGAUCGGUAUAGUAUUGACUCAUGCUUUAGGUCCUCAUGUUUUAACCUUCAGUGAACUCUUCUUAUAAAAUGAUGUAGCAAUGACCAGUUACUUAGAAGGCAGAGAGUAAAUGUUUCAUGUUAAGAAAAUAUUAUUACAUGCUAUUUUUACAUGAGGUUGUAGUUAUGAAGAUAGGCUAGAGUAUUAUGUUUAUGUGUAAGUGGCUGAAUGCAUUUCGGAGAUUUGAGUAGGCUUAAACAUAGUAGAAGAAUUCAGUCCAGAUCAGAAUUCAGUAGGUAGAUUUAUCAGAACCCAGUAUUCAGUUCCAUUACAGUCUCAGUUACCGCCUUAGAUACAGUCUCAGUCAUAGUCUCAGUCGAGUAAUCACAUCAGUAACUCAGUUCAAUUUUAGAUUUGCUUAACCAUGGUAGACAGUUAUCAGUUAUUCAGUUCUCAGUAUUUUAGUGCCUCAGUUUAUGGUCUAUUUUAGAGUCAUGUUAUACGUUUGGUCCUGCCUUCUCAAAUAAUACAGUUUUUACAAAGGCAUGCUCAGUUAUCUCAUGUUACCCAGUCAGUCCUUACCUCGUAUGCAUGAUAUUCUAUAGUUUCAGUCCAGCUAUUCAGACUAAGUACAGUUCAAUAUUACAUAACCAAGUAUUCAACUAUCAUGCGUGCUCAACACACAUGAAAAUAUUUUCAGUUAUCUCAGGUGAUGUGUCGUACUAAGGUGGAGAGCAUAGUUGGGAGAGUAUUACAGAAUUUUAGCCAGGAUGUGAUUUUCUUAUUCGGCUAUUUUAUCCAGCCAUGUCAAGACUCCUUGCUCCCUAAAUCCACUAAAACUCUAUAGAAAGAGUGUCAAAGAAAGUCUCCAGUCAAAUAUAAGUUUUCAGCAUAAGUUAGUCCACAAAACAAGCAAUUCAGUUUAGCAGUUAGGAGGACAAUAUUUGUAUGGUUGAGUUUCCCAUCUUUCUAUCUAAUCACACUAUCCGAAGUCUCAUGAAUGAAACUAUUCCAAAAUCGAACAACCAUGUGGUUACGAGUUUAGCUCAGUUCGGGUAUCAUGCCUCAUUUUCAGAUCCCCCUAUGCAGUCACGACUCAGUUCGUAGAUGACCUGUGCAUCAUCUCAAUUUUCCUCAGUAUCUCAGCCAAGUCAGCUUUCUUUAGGGGACAUAAUGUCCCAAGGAGGAGAUGCACCAUAAUUCCCCUAGCUUUCAUGACCUAAACCUUUCAUUUUUUCUUCACAUAACAAAUCCAGUUUGGAGUAGUGGGUACUCAUAGGUGGAUCCUCAAGUUCCAAUCUCAGCGGUGAGCUAUGUAUUCAAGGGUUCAGUUCAGUUCAUGUAUCACAUUUCAGUCUAAGUAAUGUUCUCAUGUUUUCGUCCAUACAUGUUUAGUAACUGAUCUCAGGUUCAUCAGUAUUCUCAGCUUAAGCUAACAGUCUUCCUUAGGUUGGCUUAGUCCAUGUUUAGUUACAGUUAUAAACUUGGUAUCCUUUACUGUUGCAUAUUCAGUUAUGCAUUCACGAAUUAGUUCAGUCAUGUACUCAUGCAUCAGAUAUGCAUAUUCAGCAAGAGAAACUCAGCUUAUCACCAAUUCAAGUCAUGCAUUCAUGAAUUAUGUUCGGCCAUGUACUCAUACAUCAGAUAUGCAUGUUCAGUAUGAAAUUUUAGCAUAUCAUUAGUGUCAGUCAUGAAAUCAUGCUUCAGUUGUGCAUGUCCAGAAAGCAAGUCCAGUCUGUCAGUUCUCCCAUCAUAGUCAGUCUCAUUUGAGGAUGAAUGUUCCUAAGGGGGAGAUAUUGUAAGACCCAGCUAAAUUCUUAGCUUAACUCAGCCUUCUUUUUAAAUCUCUAUAAGGGGAUCCCAGACUUAGAAAAUUUUGCUAAGUAUUCAAAUUAGUAUUAAUUUAGCCUUUAUAAGUUGGAAACUCUAUUUCAAGGCCUCUAUGGCCUUAAAAUAUCAAUCUUUAGGUUAAUUCAUGAUCAGGAAUGUCAGUAGAUAUUUUUGGACGAGUUCUGUAUUUUUUGGACCUAGUUUGAACCACGUUUGGGAAUCCAAAAUAGUGUAUCGACGUGAUCUCGGGGCGGCGCGGAAGCCAUUGCGUCGAUCAAGAUUUUUCCUUGUCUCCCAGUGGCAAUUUCCAAUGAACCAACGUAGACUCGAUACGGCGCAUUGGCUAUUGUAUCGAUGCCAACGAUGCAGCACGUCAUCUGCGCAUCAACAGUCCGGUUUUCAGUCAUUAAAAGUUGCAUCCUUGGGUGGUAUUUGGGUCUUUUUUCCAUCCCUAUUUAGCCGUAAAACACGAGAUUCAGCCCUCAUUGAGCAAGAUAUACUUACUUUAUCUCAAAUUGCUCAAGAACAAGAACCCUAGGAGAUUUAAUUUUAAGGCUAAGGCUCAAAAUUUCCACCAUUGUUCUUCAGGAAUUUAGAAACCAAGGUAUGUGAAGUGUUCAUCCAAGGGUUCCUUCCACCCUUGGAGUCCAAGAAACUCUUUUAAACCUCAAGUAGUUUGGAAUCAUAAUUUCCAUGAUUGGAAUUUAUGUUUAUUCAUGAUUAUUAUUUGAAUUGGGUUCCUAUUUCAUGAUUUAUUACACGUUUCAUGUGGAAUUAAUUAUUAUGUGUGUAGAUUCGUGUGAAUCCAUGAUUAAACCCUUGAAAUUAUGAAAUUGGAAUGGAAUCAUGAUUCUCACAUGUUGUUUAGCAUUAUGUGCAUAUACUAUGCCAUGCAAGUGUGUGAUAAAAUUCCUCUAUAAAUACAUUAUGAACACGUGUGCAUUUUUAUGCUCUGCAAGAUCAUGUGAUGCUUUAGUUUUUAUGCUAUCGAGUCUAGGGGGUAUUUAAUACCCGAUAAUUUAGCUAUUUACCUAUAGCCAGUGUCAGUUACAGGAUAAUCUCAAUCAUGUCACGAUUAGUAGUACUCUUAGUCAGUUACAGGAUUCAGUAUCAGUCUAGUUCAGUUCAGUAUUCAGUUCAGACCUCAGUAAACUCAAUCAAUUAAUAAAACUCAGUAGUACUCCAUCAGUUAACGGAACCCAGUAAACUCAAUUUAGUUUAGUUAAACAGUAUAAUCAGUAACAGUUCAGUCCAGCUUAGAAUAGUCUAGAAAUCUGUUCAGUGUCUAUUCAUUUAGGAGUAGGAUUCAGCACCGAGCUAACCCAGGGAUGGGGGCAUUCCUAUCAGCAGAGAGAGUUUGACCCUUAGUAGCAAUCCCUACAUUACAGAACUAUGUAGUAGGUUGAGAUAUUUUCCUUCCAGAUAUUAUGAGGGUUGAUGCAUCCCAUUUAAGAUUUCCUGCCAGCGAGGGUUGACGAAAGAGCUUCCUAUCAGAGAGGGUUAACUCACAGCUUAUCUUUACCCAUGGCACAAUACUGACAUCUUUCCAACUACGGUUACAGGUUAGACCCCAAUCUGUUCAGAAAAAGGCAUGUCGGUCAAAUGAUUUCCUCCCACAAUCUCAAUUUCAGUCUCCAGAAUAGAACUCAGUUUAGUUCUAUAAAAAUUAGGACGGUCAGAUACAGUCACUCAGUUUAGUACGAAACUCAGUACAGUUCCAAAGAAUUAGGAUUAUUGGGUACAAUCAUUCAGCUAUUAGUUAUACAGUAUCAGUAGACUCAGAUAUUAGUAAAUCAGUAAUUCAAAACUCAUGAUCUAGUGUUAUCAUGACCUCAGUUACAGCUUAUGUAGUCACGCAUGUACUUUCAUUCAGUCAUACUCAUAUUAUUCAAUCAUUAUUGUUCAUUCAUAUGAACCUAUGCAUCUUAGCCUACCUCACCUAGCAUACCAGUACAUUCAAAACACUGAUGCAUACCUUUCUUUUACGCUAUGAUGUCUUAUAUCAUAAGUUCAGACACACGGGCUCCUAAUCAUACUUAGCAGCUUGAUCCAUCAACAACAGACUUAGUGGUAAGUCCUCAUAGUUUGAGGAUAGAUUUAUUAUUUUAGUAUUUCAGUACUCAGUUUAUUUCAGUAGUCGGAGUUAGUUGGGGACUUGUCCCAUCAACUCCUUGUUUAGACAGUAGAGGUUUUUCAGACUAGAGUAUUUUCAGACAGAUGUUUUCAGUUUUGGUAUUGUUAUGUUUUAUUUCGGUAGUGAACCUUAUGGCAAGUUUCCACCUAAUUUCCAUAUAAUUACAGUAUUGCUAUUCAGUUAUUACAGUAGGUAUCAGUCAUAGGUUAGCUUGUGGUCGCUCGAGAUUAUGAGCACCGUGUAGCGUCCGAGGUACAGACUCGUGGCGUUACAAUUAAUGAGAAGCAAAACAAAUAGUGAAUGUUUUAUCCAAAUGAAGCUAUAAAUUUCAUGAAGCAAUUAUCUGCCAAUCCAGUGUAGAUUAUUGAUAUAGAGAAAAGAAUGCACAACAUAACAUAACAUGAAAAACCAACUUUACAAAAACAUCUGGCCAUCAUCAUGAAACGCAUUCAACACAUAUCAACACUAUAAAGUUAUUAGCUAGAACUAAAAUUUCUUGAAACCAUAGAGACUCAUAUAAUUCUACACUUAGUUUUACAAAUGCUUUCAACCCAAAGCAAAAAAUGGUGUUUUGUACACUCGACCUCCCUUCUGCUUUUUUUCUUAUUAAUAACUUAAAAGGAGUUGAACUCGCUUACGAUUAAUAUACUCUUGCAUAAUUCAGAUAAAAGACCAUUAUCGAGUGUAAAACCAAUAAAAAUAUGUAAUGAUAACAUGGAUAAGUCACCUUGUUUGUUGUCGAAUCUUCAGAGUGUUGCACCAUGUCCUUGUCUUCAGUAGUGACAUGUUGCAGACUAUGUAUAGUGGGCAUAUAUUAAGCAAAAGCAGCAAAAUUAAAUACUCACUAAUCCUUUUGUUGUCAUAGAAAGCAAAAAUACUUGUUUAAACAUAUAAUCAUUCAUUCAUAAGCCGGGGGUUUAUCGGAAAUAGUCUCUCUACUUUUUUGGAGGUAGUAGUACGGACUGCUUACAUUUUACCCUCUCAAUACCACACUACGGGGGAAUAUAAUGGGUAUGUUGUUAUUGAGACAUAAUAAUUCGUAUGGUUCCAAAACAUAUGAAUUUUGCAUAAUAGCCAAUACAUUCGAGAUAAAUCCUACUGCUUUAGCAAAAAAAAAAAAAGUGGAACCGUGAUCCAUCCCAAGAUUCCUUAUGAACUUGCACACUGAACUGAGCUAAGAAGUUUAACAACUUUACUUCAAUCACCACCUUGGAGCCUUGGAAGGUGCUUGGAAUCUAUGUUAUUCAGACUCUUCAAAAAUUUAGUGGGUGCGUGUCAGAU